rnacentral:rRNA from 1 species
UAGGGAAUCUUCCACAAUGGGACGCAAGUCUGAUGGAGCAACGCCGCGUGAGUGAAGAAGGUUUUCGGAUCGUAAAGCUCUGUUGUUGGUGAAGAAGGAUAGAGGCAGUAACUGGUCUUUAUUUGACGGUAAUCAACCAGAAAGUCACGGCUAACUACGUGUCAG